rnacentral:rRNA from 1 species
UACGUAGGUGGCAAGCGUUGUCCGGAUUUACUGGGCGUAAAGGGCGUGCAGGCGGUUCGUUAAGUCUAGGGUGAAAGCUCCCGGCUCAACUGGGAGAGGUCUUUGGAUACUGGCGGACUUGAGGAGGGUAGAGGAGAGUGGAAUUCCCGGUGUAGUGGUGAUAUGCGUAGAUAUCGGGAGGAACACCAGUGGCGAAGGCGGCUCUCUGGGCCCUACCUGACGCUGAGACGCGAAAGCGUGGGGAGCGAACCGG